rnacentral:rRNA from 1 species
AGUGAACGCUGGCGGUAGGCCUAACACAUGCAGGUCGAACGGCAGCACAGUAAGAGCUUGCUCUUACGGGUGGCGAGUGGCGGACGGGCGAGGAAUACAUCGGAAUCUACUUUUUCGUGGGGGAUAACGUAGGGAAACUUACGCUAAUACCGCAUACGACCUACGGGUGAAAGCAGGGGAUCUUCGGACCUUGCGCGAUUGAAUGAGCCGAUGUCGGAUUAGCUAGUUGGCGGGGUAAAGGCCCACCAAGGCGACGAUCCGUAGCUGGUCUGGGAGGAUGAUCAGCCACACUGGAACUGAGACACGGUCCAGACUCCUACGGGAGGCAGCAGUGGGGAAUAUUGGACAAUGGGCGCAAGCCUGAUCCAGCCAUACCGCGUGGGUGAAGAAGGCCUUCGGGUUGUAAAGCCCUUUUGUUGGGAAAGAAAAGCAGCAGGUUAAUACCCCGCUGUUCCGACGGUACCCAAAGAAUAAGCACCGGCUAACUUCGUG